UGCGGGAUAGAGCAGCAGUUAGCUCGGGGGUCUCAUAAGCCCCAGGCCCGGGUGCAAAUCCCGGUCCCGCAACAA
rnacentral:tRNA from 1 species